GGUCUGUGAUGAAUAGUAAAAGGUCUGAUUAUCCUAAGACUUGCACUUCCAUGCCCUUCUCUCCCAGCAGUUUCUCACCAGCCACAACACAGUAAUAGUGUGGCUGGCAGAGAGUUUGCUGACAGCUUGUGAUGUGUUCGGUUCAUGUUAACCUCAAGUAUUGGAGACAUGACUGGAAUCUGCAUCCAACAGUCCUGCCUGAAGGAGUUUGGGGUCUUGGAUUGCUCAAACUGGAAAUGUGAUCUGACUUUUCUGCUGAGACC